UGAGCAAUCUGCCCUUCUCUUUGGAAUAAGCGUUGGAAACGACGUCUAAUGCCGAAUACGACCUCCUUUCGCAUGAUCGGAGGUGGAAAGCUCCGGCGGAGAAGGAUGAGCUCGCGGCCUAUCAGCUAGUUGGUGUGGGUAAUGGCCCACCAAGGCGACGACGGGUAGCCGGCCUGAGAGGGUGACCGGCCACACUGGGACUGAGACACGGCCCAGACCUCCGUACGGGAGGCAGCG
rnacentral:rRNA from 1 species